rnacentral:rRNA from 1 species
GACAAACGCUGGCGGCGUGCCUAAUACAUGCAAGUCGAACGGUCUUUUCUAUGGAAGCUUGCUUCCACUGAGAAGAUAGUGGCGAACGGGUGAGUAACACGUGGGUAACCUGCCCAUAAGAGGGGGAUAACAUCCGGAAACGGGUGCUAAUACCGCAUAGUUUUCUUGAUCGCAUGAUCGGGAAAGGAAAGACGGCCUUUGUGCUGUCGCUUAUGGAUGGACCCACGGCGUAUUAGUUAGUUGGUGAGGUAACGGCUCACCAAGACGAUGAUACGUAGCCGACCUGAGAGGGUGAUCGGCCACAUGGGGACUGAGACACGGCCCAAACUCCUACGGGAGGCAGCAGUAGGGAAUCUUCCGCAAUGGACGAAAGUCUGACGGAGCAACGCCGCGUGAGUGAAGAAGGUUUUCGGAUCGUAAAACUCUGUUGUCAGAGAAGAACAAGUUGGAGAGUAACUGCUCCAGCCUUGACGGUAUCUGACCAGAAAGCCACGGCUAACUACGUGCCAGCCGCCGCGGUAAUAC